rnacentral:pre_miRNA from 1 species
UCUUAUGGAUGAGCAAAGGAAGUGAUUUCUCAAGAUGGGAUUUACUUAUGGUGAAGAUGCCAUGAA